AAACCAACAGGGAUUGCCUCAGUAACGGCGAGUGAAGCGGCAAAAGCUCAAAUUUGAAAUCUGGCACCUUCGGUGUCCGAGUUGUAAUUUGAAGAAGGUAACUUUGGAGUUGGCUCUUGUCUAUGUUCCUUGGAACAGGACGUCACAGAGGGUGAGAAUCCCGUGCGAUGAGAUGCCCAACUCUAUGUAAAGUGCUUUCGAAGAGUCGAGUUGUUUGGGAAUGCAGCUCUAAGUGGGUGGUAAAUUCCAUCUAAAGCUAAAUAUUGGCGAGAGACCGAUAGCGAACAAGUACAGUGAUGGAAAGAUGAAAAGAACUUUGAAAAGAGAGUGAAAAAGUACGUGAAAUUGUUGAAAGGGAAGGGCUUGAGAUCAGACUUGGUAUUUUGCAAGCCUUACCUUCGUGGUGGGGUCCCCUGCAGUUUACUGGGCCAGCAUCGGUUUGGAUGGUAGGAUAAUGACUUGGGAAUGUGACUUUGCUUCGGUAAAGUGUUAUAGCCCUUGUUGAUACUGCCUGUCUAGACCGAGGACUGCGUCUUUGACUAGGAUGCUGGCAUAAUGAUCUUAAGUCGC
rnacentral:rRNA from 1 species